rnacentral:rRNA from 1 species
UACGUAGGGGGCAAGCGUUGUCCGGAUUUAUUGGGCGUAAAGAGCGUGUAGGCGGCUUGACAGGUCUGCUGUGAAAAACUCGAGGCUCAACCUCGAGAUGUCGGCGGAAACCGUCUGGCUAGAGUCCGGAAGAGGAGAGUGGAAUUCCUGGUGUAGCGGUGAAAUGCGCAGAUAUCAGGAGGAACACCGAUGGCGAAGGCAGGCUCGCGUGGGACGGUACUGACGCUGAGCGCGAAGCGUGGGGAGCAAACAGG